rnacentral:rRNA from 1 species
CUGGCUUGAAACAUUUUGCCGGCCACGGUUUCGUGUGUUAGUGCUUGAUGUUCUGGCCAUCCUUCCAAUCGCCAUUGGCUUGUCUUCAUUGAUUGGUCAGUGGUAUUGGAUCUUUUACUUUGAAAAAAUUAGAGUGUUUCAAGCAGGCUUUAUGCUAUGAAUACAUUAGCAUGGAAUAAUAAUUUAGGACUUCGGUUCUAUUUUGUUGGUUUCUAGGACUGAAGUAAUGAUUGAUAGGGAUAGUUGGGGGUGCUAGUAUUCAGCGGCCAGAGGUGAAAUUCUCGGAUUCGCUGAAGACUAACUUAUGCGAAAGCAUUC